UGGAGACAAGCGCGACAUUUACAACGGCGUUGGCCACGCGAUUCGCGGAUGCCGUGGUAAACGCCUUUGGCGGGCGCCGCAGGGACGCGUUGCCGGCGCUUGUGUUUCUUGUGUGCGGCUUGACACUACUUUACUGGCCUUCCUCCUGCUCCACUGGUCUCUUUUGUUUGGGAAAGCAGAGCCACGAAUAAUUUUUUUAGAGGAUUUUUGGGGGCCGAGCGUCUUGCUUAUAUGGAACAGCACUGCUAGUUGAAGUACAGUAUGUUGUCAUAGUUCGUCUGUGUUCGCAUAUGUAUGUUUCAGCUAGCGGCGCUUGUGCACUGCUUAGUUGUUCGUCAGGACUGGGUUUAUAUGCUUAGGAAGUGGGAUUACGCAUUCAGUAGCGACGUUCUUUGUUUUUCGUGAGAUCUUCUUGUUCAGUUCAGCUAUUCAAACUCACCUAAGCCAUGAGCUAACUAGCUUAGUUGAGUACUAAUCUAAACUGACGUUUGCUAGAUUUUCAGACUUUUUUUGUUUUUCAUUGCACAAUUCAUGAGUCACGUGUUCUGCGUCAUGCACGAUUUCUUCCUUGAGCUGUGCGAGAUCGUUCUCUAAAAUUUCUGUACAGGCACCGUAUGAGGCAUUGCGCAAGGUUGUCGUCGCAGUAAAGAGUAAACCGGCACCACGCCAGUGCCUACACUGUAAACACAAAUUAGCCCUUAUGGGCGUUUUAACAGCUGACAUGCCAUUGUUCCCCCCAAGCUUAAGAUAAGUACUUCUACGAGAAGCAGUAAAAUAAGCUAGAACCAAUAUUUUACCCUUUACCUAAUCUUCAGGGGCAUUGCGGUUGUCGAAUGGGGUUUUUUAAAAAAAUAACGGUGGCGUACGGUAGAUUGAGAAUGUUUAAAUACGCCCAUAUCUGACACGAGCAAAAUAGAGAAAAUAUCUCAGCAGUGAGAAUCAACGCUGUCUGCCCCAGGGACAAUUUUUGUAGAAUUUUUUUCUGCAGUCAGAUUCGAAAUAUUCCGCGCAAUGUGUGUCCGCGCGUUUUUUCUCUUCGGAGUAGCCGUGCCUUGGUGCUGCAGAGGACGCCGAAAGUCGAAACUACGCGCGGAGGAGCGCAGGACUUCGGAGCGCGCACGCGCGCUUUCAAAGUGAGCAAGCAGCAGCCAUUACAAGCUACGGCGCAUUCGUCUACCGUUCUUGAUGUCUGUCACAGUUUUGAAUCCCCAAGACACCACGCGCUGUGGCUGCGGCUGCUUCAUUGCCAGCUGUGAGGAUGAAACUGCUUCAUAGCCGGACAUCAGCCUUCCCGCAGUUUCCCUUUUCAGCAACAGAGGCGUUGGAUGCCUUUCUACCUGCGCGGCAUUCUGUGGCGGACAACUCCAACAAUCUCAGCGGAUUCGUUGCACGGCUCGCGGUCGGCCAUCUCGCAGGAGCGCCAAAGACGAGGCGCUUGGAUAGGCGUGCGCGCGUACCCCGCGCAGCACCCGAGUUCGAAGCUCGUGAACCGGCCAACGGCCCAUUUUCCAGGCCGGAAGGCCACCAAGGAAGUGCCUGGAGACCUUACCAAGACCUUACCUCUACCUAGACCGUACCGUACCAAGACCUUUCCCUGACCAAGACAACACCACUACCAAGGCGCCACCAAGGAAGUGCCUGGAGACCUUACCAAGACCUUACCUCUACCUAGACCGUACCGUACCAAGACCUUUCCCUGACCAAGACAACACC